AAUAAUGAUUCACUUCAGCUCUAGAGAAACGUAUGAAGGAAGGGAGGAAAAGAGUUGAAAUUCAGAAUAAGAGUGUGAUUCCGUUACCUGAAGAGGCAAAAGAGCAGGAGGAAAUUGGACAAUCUACGCUACAUAAUGUUCAAGUGUACAGAAAAGGAAGCUGAGAUUGAAAUACUGGAGUGUGAUGAAUGAACCCCAGAGACCAAUGUCCCAAACAUAGCCCAGUCUGCAUCUCCCACAUGAAGGAACCCAAGGAAUGGUCACGUUUCCAUAUAUCCCCACUUAAGUGACAUGAGAUGGAUGGGUUUCCACAAGGAUCAGCUGGAGGAGUUUCACAUCCAUCUGGCAAAGCUGCAUUAAGCCUCGUGUUUUCCAGGGAACUGCAUUGCUCUACAGAAGCAAUGACGAAUUAUUCAAUUGCUUUAUGAAUAUUUCCUCCCAUUAACCUCUUUCUGAAAAUUUGCUGAUACGAGUUAAGUGUCUCUUAACCAAA